rnacentral:lncRNA from 1 species
GCAGCCGCGAAAAGUAGCGUGGGCCAGGACAGCGGGAGGUAAGUCGCCAAGAAAAGGGUUGGGAAGAGCUCAGAAUCGGACGGCUAGGAAGAAAUGACCAAAAGGAGCCUGAUAGCCCCCUAUUCUGCACGCUGUUCCUGGAAACCGCCUUUGCAAAGACAGUGAGAGAAAUCUAACAUGGCUCACUCCAUCUUGCUUCUAGCCUCGCAGGCCGGCUGUCUUCGCUCAUUCCUGGGCAUAAACCAAGCUAACCAUGGGAGAAUUUAUAGUUUAACUUUUAAGCAAGGAUGAUCAUAGUCCCUUCCUUAAACAGGGCCCCUCCUUGUUUGGGGGCUGAAACUGCCUUUAUAAAACUAAUGAAAGACCGGGAGGUUAGGAUUAUGAGGGGAGAAUUCUGCUAAAAUGUAGUAAACGAUAACCAGCCAUUGUUUCGGAGGACAUCGGAUGUGUAACUUCCCCAAUUAUUCCUGUAGAUAACGUUAUCGUAGCACCUAAGAUUGGUCUUUUGAGGCAUUUUUCAGACUUUCGCAUUCUGGCAACUAACUGACCCCACCCAGACUCGUGACCCAUGACCCAACCGCUUCUUCUGUCCCACUCCUCCCCCAAGAGGCGGACUCAGCUGUUGAGGAGUGUAGUCCACACCCCUGUGAUUGCAUCUCCAACCAAUCAGCAGCAUCCAUUCCCUAGUGCCCUGCCCACACCAAACUAUGAAAUACCCUAACCUCUGAGCUGACCCUUCAGGAAAACUUACUUGAGUGGUAACCCUUCUUCCCUGAGGCCAGCCUCAGGUUAAUACAACUGUAUACUGCAGUAGCACUUUUCAGUGAAUUGGUUUUGUCUGCAGUAAGCAGGAAAAACCUGCAGUGCCAUUCAUUCCCAUGAGUGGAAAGUUCUUUCCAUUUAGAGCUUAAGGUGUUGUCACUUUCUCCAAGAAGCAGGUCUUGCCCUUGGCCUGGUGUGGUGGUUCAUGGCUGCAAUCCCAGCACAUUGCG